CUUUCAUUUUGACGUUCUCGUGUAACCGUGUACGCCUAAGUCGCAAAAUUAAACAAACACUUUGGUGGGUCCGGUGGUGCUGGUGGGUCUAGGACGCAAAGCAAAACCGACCGCGGCAGCAGCCAGGACUCGGACGCGGAAACCUUUAUGAGCCAAACAGAAGCAGCGGUACGCCUUCGAAGGAGGGUGGUGCGGGAGCGGGACGAGGUCGAGUGCUCGAAAAGGACAAGGCCAGCUUCCUGCAGGAACUGCAGCUGUUCCACGGUCGGAAUGCGAUGAGAGGUAGGAAUGUGGAUUCGCACCUGUUGUAUUGGGUGGUGGUGGCCAGGGAUUGGUGGUUGAAGGUCAAUUCGCGUGAGGACUGGGGCGAGAUCAUCGAGGAGAUGGCGCUGCCGAAGCGUUGUGUGAACAACGAGGUUGUGUUGAAGAAGAUUAACUUCCGGUUUUUGGACAAGUACGUAAAGUUUAUUUUCACGAUGGGCCUCCGACGAAGAGGAGGACGACGAAAAGCUACAUAAUCGGAGGUGGUAAGCGCAGAUGUUGCACUCGGUGCCGGCAGCUUACAGCACCGCAACUUCCGCCAACAAACACUCACGUCGCGAUCUGGACAGUGAGCCAAAAAAAAUCUGUGUCAUUCUCGAAGUAGGAUUACGUGCUCAAAAUCGAACUCCGUUCCGAAGGCCUCAUCAACUCCAUGUUCCGGAUGCGCUUCCAGGAUCGGGAACUCCCCGAAUCAAUGGCCAACUCCUCCAAGACUGUCCUGAUUGAGGCCGGAAACGUGACCAUCGUGUUACACUGCUGUCGCGCGUCGAAGCCUCCAUCCGGAACCGUCCAGCCUGUGGUAUUCGGAAGUGACCGGUGGCGUACCUUAUGAAGCAGAAGCUAGUGGAGAAGCUUUAAAUACGAAAAAGUGUUUUUCUAACAUACUAUUAAUUUUUUUUAAAUAAAUGUAAAAAACCAACCA